rnacentral:rRNA from 1 species
AUAUUUUUUCUCGAUGUGGAAUGAGCUAUAAAUUUAUUUAUAUUAAUGUUACAAAAUUAUUUAUAAUAAAUUUAUUGAAAUGAUAUGUUAUUCGUAUUUCAAUAUAUCUAGUUUUUUAAGAAAUAAAUUUAAUUUAGUCAUUAUUAAUUAAUAGUUUUAUUAGAUAAAUAGUUAAUGAAUAGUGGGUAAUAUUGUUAGGGAUAAGCUUAACAGUAAAAUUUUAAUUAAUUUUAUAUUAAAUAUUUAGUGGGGAUAGAGGUUUCUUUCUAUAGUUAGUGUGUUAUUACAAGAUAUGUAUUUAGUAAGAUUUUUAUUUUAUUUAAAUAAUUUAUUAGAAUAUUUAAUUUAAUGAUUUCGUUAAUGUGAUAAUGAUUAAAUUAGUAUAGAUUUAAUUUUAUUAUUAUUAUUGUUUGUUAGGUAAAGUAAAGGAAUUCGGCAAAAGAGUCUCUGCCUGUUUAAUAAAAACAUGGUUUUUUGAUAAUAAUUUAAAAUCUGGCCUGCCCUAUGAGGAGUUAAAUGGCUGCAGUAUUUUGACUGUACAAAGGUAGCAUAAUAAUUAGUUUUUUAAUUGGGAACUGGAAUGAAAGGUCGGACAAGAGAUUGACUGUCUCUAUCUUAUUUAUAGAAUUUUAUUUUUAAGUAAAAAAGCUUAAAUAUAAUUAAAAGACGAGAAGACCCUAUAGAACUUUAUAUUUAUAGAAUACAGAUUAUUUUGUAAUUAAUAUUUUUAUUUAAUUAAGUAUUAUGUUGGGGUGAUAGAAAAAUUGAAAUAACUUUUUUGGGUUUGAGCUAUUUAUUUAUAUAUAAAUGAUCCAUUAUUUAUGAUUAUUAGAAUAAGUUACCUUAGGGAUAACAGCGUAAUUUCUUUUAGGAGUUCUUAUUUAAAGGGAAGAUUGCGACCUCGAUGUUGGAUUAAAUUUAAUAGUAGGUGUAGGAGCUUAUUAAUUUGGUCUGUUCGA